AGUUGGAUAAAAUCAAAUAAAAUAUGACAAAUUUAAAAAGGGGAAGUAAAAUUAACCUGUAAGUCAUCAGAAGAAAGUUUGUUUGCUUCCCAAGUUUUGUUUUGUUAUAUUCCAACGAAAAGUGCAUAUUUACUUGGGAAUCGCCCCUCCAUUUUUGUUGUGAUUUUGCGUUUUCGUCUGCUAAUUCUUACUUUAUGGUAGACACGCAUUUGUCUACCAUAUGGUAGGUCAUCUUCCAUUCACCUACUAGCUAAAAGUAAACAAAAUUUUCUACCAUUUCUCUACCUUUUUCGUUCUACUACGCAUGGUGGCCGAAAAGUAGGAAAAAGGUAGAAAUCAAAAAUUUUGAGUGUGCUGUUGCGUUCUGCCGUCACCAUUGAGCCCUUUUUUCCGUGAUUUUGUAGGGAGCCGGAUCGUACAGUUGCUUCAUUUUAUUCAGCAACUGUGUCGGCUGAUACAGCAAUACUUGAUCACCUUCCAUCGUCGAUGACGGCUUCGCUUUUCCCUUGUCUGUAUAUUUUCUAAUGUUGGCUUUUCGUUUCUCGUCAUGGCUUCGGGCUGUAUCAUGGUGGUCACUGUCUGGCUGAGUUGGUGGGAGUUCUGGAAGUUUUGUUCUGAUGUUAGUGAUGUGACGUUAACUUUAACGACUAACGUGAACAUCAUGUUAACGGACGUUUUUGGGGUCCGUUAACUUAACGUAAUAACUUAACGUUUUGAAAUUUUCAUGCGUUAAUUUCAACGUUAUUUUAUUUAUUUUUUAGCUUGAAAAUGCAACGCUGUGUUAAGGUUUUUUGGUUUAGGUUUACUGUAAAAAUUUAAAUUUCUACUUCUUACACGGCUCAGCGUACGUUCGUAGUCUGCUAGACAUUUAGAAGUACACAAUGUGUUUUUGAAUGCUUUAAUAAAGUUCAUUUUUUAGUGAUUGACUGAUUGUACUGAUUGAAAUGAGUGAAUCAGAGAAUUCCUCAGAAGAUGAAGGGCAAUCUAUUCAUUUUGUCCCUGCUAAUCUACGUAAAAGAAGCCUCAUUCACAAUUAUUUUGUAUUCAACCAAAAGUCGAAUACAAGUGUGUGCAAAACUUGUGAAGCUGAGCUUGUAGGAAAAAAUACCUCAAAUCUUAUAAACCACCUCAAAAAACCAAUUCAUUUGAAAGAUUUAUAUCCUAAAUAUCUUAAAGAGGUGUCUGAUAAUCAAGAAGCUACUGCAAGUAAGAAGACUAAGUUGUCGAAGGAAAAAAAGAAACCUGAUUCAAAAUAACGUUUAAAAUAACGUUUAACUAACGUUAACGGAUGCUUUAAAUUAACGCGUUAAUUAACGCGUUAAUUUAACGUCAAAAAGUAAAGCUCCGUUAACUUAACGGAUAACUUUAACGUUUCAAAAAACCACUAACGUCACAUCACUAUCUGAUGUCCCUGUUGAAAAGCAGCUUUGCUGCUGCUACUGCUGUGGUGCUGUGAGGCGAUGCACGAUAGUUGAGUACACAGUAAAAAAUUUUAUGCGUAUUGAAUUUAAUGCGUAUUGACGGCGCCUUACAUUGACGCUUGACGCUUUUACCGUUACAUUUUUAACUGUUUUAUAUGCGCUUCUAUAUGCGGGAAAUUUUCGUAAUUUUUUUCUUUUCCAUAAUUAAGAUCUUUUUCUCCUCUUUCUAACGAUACCAAUUUUGCCCCAAAAUAUUGCACCUUUCUAGUAGGAAACUUUGUUAAAUUGAAAGGCCCUAUUUCCCCUAUUUCUUUUGCCGUGGCACCGUUAAGGUAAAGCCGACGGAAGGUCUUAAAUCUUUUAAAGCUAUCAGAAUAUUUUCAAUUUUCCUUCCCAAAUUUCUACCUUUACGUUUAUAGUUACUCUUUUAUUAUUCCCAUUUAGUUAGUUUUAAGAAACCCACAUGAUAAAGUAGAAUACUUGGCCAUAAGAUUGUUUCCAUUUUUAUUUUUCCCUGUUUCGCAUUUCAAACAACUGUAUGCGAUUGCGCUGAGCCAUCGAAUAUGAGAAGUAUUCAAUUUUCCGAUGCUGAUUGCAUGCCGAAAGUGAAUACUACGAGUGCUGUUCCAGUGAGAUAUGUUGUCUACAGUGAUGAACGCACCGCAGUAAAAUUUCCGGGUUUUAUUUUCGCAAAAUGGGGAAAUAUUCACCGCGUGACUAUGAACUUUUUUGGUAAAACAGUGAUCGUGCCUGAGAAAAUUCCUAUCGACACAACAGCUUCUGAGUGCUAUAACAUGAUUAACACUAAAAAGUGCGGAGGAUAUGAAAUGAUUCUUUCGUACGAUAAACAUGUAUUUUCGCAUGAACUUCGAUCUGACGGUUACUGGAUGCGAACCAUCGAGUGGGAAACUCUCAAUUGUGCGCUUGAACAAGUACAACUGUUUCAACAAGUGGAAGAUGAAGAUUUUCCAACACCGAUCGGAAAAGCUUCCGCAACCGCUGGAACUUUAUCUCACAACCAUUUAACUUUGGUUUGGGAUACAACAUACACCCAUAAGAUUCAACAUGAACUACGUACAGUUGAAUUUGGAAGCGGAACUCUUCUGAUGAAAACGGAAAAUGAAAAAUAUUUCCGCUUUUUGGACAACGAUCGUCAACUAGAUUUUCAUUUAACUCUUCAACCACCUUGUACUCCAAAUCAACGAAAUUGCAACAACCGAACAAUGACUUUUAAAAUCGUCGGCCAUUCAAAAUUAAUUUUGGUAACGUGGCCCAUCAUCGAUAAAUCUCUAUCACUCACCGCCGAGUCGGCGGCCAUCAAGGAGAAGGCCCCACCAAGCGUCACUAUGGAAACCACCUCGCCAUCUAGUGACCCAGAUUUGGAUAGAUUGGCUAAUAAACAAUAUAUUCAAGAUCGUGCUAUUGAUCGUGACAAUCAAUUAGCGCGUUUGUUACAAACAAUUAAAUGUGAUGUUCGCAAAGCUAAAAAUGAACGAGCAAUUAUCACCGCCCAAUAUAAUGAUUGGCUCACCGCUUUACUAUUGAAAUUACCUCGGUGCGCAAAGUUACAAGCUUUUGGACAAACCGCCGUAGUGAUUCAGUGUAAAGCCGUGAACGCCACAUUUGAAACCGUGAUCAUGCCUUGUGGACCACAACCGAAAUUUAACAAUUAUACGAUUUAUCUUGAUGGUUGGGAAUUAGUGAAAUUUUCCCCAUGCUAUUGGAAAAAUGGUUUCGUCAAUUUCAACGAUAAACCUUAUGCCUUUCGCAACAACACUUGGACAAGGCUUGACCCAAAUAUUGUACUGCCGGAGUGUACAUUGGCUCAUUCUUUCCGCUAUGAAGACGUGAAAUCCUUUGACUAUGACCAUCGCAGCAAUCCAGCUUGUUAACGACAGAAGUCGUUAGGGCCGUCGAUUGUUAAUUACCGUCUCGUAUCGUCGAUACCUUCUCAGGGCCGUCGAUUAUACAGUGGUGAUUCGCAGAGGAAACUUUAAGUUACCGAAAACUUAUUUGCCUAGUGAAAUGGCUCAACCACGGACACGUGACGGCAGCACAACUAGUAUGCCAGAUAUUGGUAUUCCGGUUCAUCUUAACAGAAAUGAUACUGGAGUUGGCAGUCAAAGUGGAUCAUCAGAUUCCAGAAGUCAAACGUCCUGUACACCAGAAAAAAGAAUUCAAGCAAUCGCAGCGGCACGUGUCGAACGAGACACAUUAGUCUUUAUCCUUGAGCAACAGUGUCGUGAGAUAGAGCAGCUGAUUAGUAACCGUGGUCGCCGUUCCAUAUUAAACCAUCUCAAGACACAGAUCCAUAUUCGUUUGGAUCAAGUGCGAGAUGCUAAUUUCUUGUACAAUCAAAGCUUAUGGGAAGCCAAGAAGCCGAUGACAGAUGCCUAUAAUUAUAUUAUAGGUAUAGAGAUUCAUAGAUCAUUACCUUGAUGAUCGACGUUACUCGCCAGCUUCUACUGCCAGUCGUGCUACUCGGCGCCAAGCUGAUGAAGAAUCUUUCUUCACCAUGGAUUAAUAUCGUUACAAUUCACGGCCGCAAACGCCUGAUCCGGCGUUAAGGCAAUCCAUGGAUAGAACUACCGAUCGAUAUAGAUUCGAUACCUAUCGACCUGUAUCAACGAUGGGAACCCGCCCACGUCUGAGUAUAAUCAUAGACCAUUAGAGCAAUCAGGGAGAGUUGGUCCCCCACCCCCUUUAAUUCCAUCGUUCAGCAGCGAUCAUUGGAUUAACAGGCGUACACCUCCGCCAAGGGGAGCUUCAGCGGGGUUCAGCCGAAAUUGGCUAAUGAAUGCGUUACCACAGAAAAAGAUAACGCCAUUCAAUGGCAACCCAAAGGAAUGGCCAACCUUUAUCUCUUCGUUUCGGGACAUGAUCCAUAAUGUGGUACCAUCGGACGCUCAACGCCAUGCUUUCUUAAAGCAGAUGCUCACUACAGAAGUUCGUUCCUACAUAGCCGAAUACUUGGACUAUCCGUCCAUUAUUAUGAUGCCUUAGUAGAACUGAAGAAGCGAUAUGGUCAACCACAAGUGGUUGCUCGGAGCCAUUUGAUGGCUCUUAUGAAUCUUCCAUCGAUCCGAGUUGAUGAUUCAGAGGCACUAGCCAAGCUCAACCGAACUAUUCAUGGAGCCAUGCAUGCCCUGAGGACUAGCGGAUAUGAGCAAGACUUGUAAUCUGGAAUGACUCUGGAACACGUCGUCUCCCGUUUACCUCCGCAAAUGAGAAGUAGCUGGGGCGUGAAAGUGUACCGGAUGACUCCAACACGAGCUACUCUCAAGGAUCUAGCAAAGUGGAUAGACGAGAUGGUGAUGAGUGAAUUGAUGACCAGGCCAUCUACUCAUAGAUCACCAGCUCCACAGAAGGAAAAGAAAGCGGGAAGUGCUAAGCCUUCAACCAAACCAACUCCUCUCUUUGGUAAAAGUCCUGUUGUUUUUCACACCUCCACAUCUCCACCAGUCAAGAAACCGCAACAAAGUCCUCCCUCUGAGAGUAAUUCGUCAUCGCUGAAGAAAGGCGUCAUUAAGAAGUGCAUUUAUUGUUAUAACCCCCAUUCGAUAAAUACCUGUUCCACAUUCAAAGAUCUAGAUGUUACACCUAGAGUGGAGUGGGUAAAAGAGAAACGAUUAUGUUUCAGGUGUUUGAUUGGAACACAUCGGGGAACUGAGUGUCCCACCAAAAUCAUCUGCAACAUUGGGAACUGUGGUCAACGACACCACCCUCUUUUGCACGGAGCACCUCGACUUUAUCCCGCGAAUGCUUCAACCACUUAAAAUGCAGGUCAGCCAUCAGCAAAAUCGUCUGAUGGUCGCGCAAUGACCAUUAAAAACAGGGAUACGGCAAUUAACACUUCCCUAGCUAUCGUUCCUGUGUUACUUCAAACUAACUGGGUGGAAAUCGAAACUUUCGCUUUUCUAGUUCCAGGAGCGACCGUUAACUUAAUUCGAGAGGAUGUAGCUAAACAGCUCAAAUGCAAAUGGAAUGCAAGGAAUGUAUCCUUUGGCUCGUUUCACGGCCAAGACCCACAGUUUUAAUCAACUACGUACCUAAAGUUACCAUGCCCACCGAAGGAGUUAAUGGAGAUCCGAAGUCGUUACCCUCAUCUCAAAGACGUAAAACUGGUUGGUGGUUGGAGAACCAACCAUCCUUAUUGGAGCGGGAACCAAUGGCUGCACUUACGUCUCGAUGAAAGACUAACUCCUGUUGGAACCGACGCUCCCUUUGGUUUAUUGACGCCAUUUGGUUGGACUUGCGUUGGCGAUCUAACAUUAGGGACACAGCAACAUGAUUCAACGGUUUGUUGUAAGAACAAACCCUUGCUGACGGAGCAAAAACUCUACUACCAUGUACAAGAAUCACCGACGGAAGCAUUACUUUUGCGCUAAGUUGAGAAAUUGUGGGAAACGGAAAGCUUUCCAAUUGUAACUCCAGCUCAACCACUAGAAUCAACCGAGGUUAGCUAGCGAGGAAGAAAUUCGAUGCAACUAUUUAAUUCGACGGAACCAGGUAUGAAGUAGGUCUACCAUGGGUCUCAGAUGAUAUCGCACUACCCGAUAAUUACAAUAGUGCAUUGCGUCGACUUUUUUCUAUCGAAAACAAAUUCACGCACAAUUCUAAUUUUGCUGAAAGAUACAAAGCCGUAAUCGAUGACUAUGUGGCAAAGAGAUUCGCGCGGCCUCUCAAAGAAAGUGAAUUGAAGGGCACCUUUGGGAGAAAUUGGUAUCUGCCCCACCAUGGAGUCGUAAAUCCUCGGACACCUGAAAAGGUUAGAGUGGUCUUUGAUGCUUCCGCGAAGUAUCAAGGAGUUGCGCUCAACGAAGUGCUCUUAAAGGGUCCCAAUCUCAUCAAUGACAUACGUGCUACCCUUCUACUCUUCAGAGAAAAGUCGGUGUCCCUAUCUGGGGAUAUUCAACAAAUGUUUCUUCAAGUUGGCGUGAAGAAAGAAGACCGUUUCGCCCUACGAUUUCUAUGGCGUCCACCUGGCUCUCGAAAAAGACCCACCAUAUAUGAAAUGCAGCGAAAAAAAAUUGGAUCGGUCUCAUCCCCUUUCAUCUGCUCUCAAGUGCUCCGACAUAUUGCUGACCUACAUCGUGAAGAAUUUUCUGAAGCCGCUGAACGAGUCUACAAUAACCUCUAUGUAGAUAACCUUCUGGAUUCUUUUUACACCGAAGAGGAGGCUAGUCGAGCGGUCAAAGAUUCUACAGCAUUGCUAAAAAAGGGAGGAUUCCAUCUGAACCAAUGGCUCUCUUAAUCUCGACGGGUAUUGUCACGUGUACCAGAAGGUGAUCGUAUUCAGCCUCGCCUGAAUUUGGAUCUAGAGGAUUUGCCCACGGAGAGAACCUUAGGUGUUUUAUAUGACAGCGAAAGUGACAGCUUCAUCUUUGAUGUUAAAACCGACGUCGAAGCGAGUACUAAGCGUCGGAUCUUGAGUGCUGUGUCUACCUUGUAUGACCCACUGGGUUUUUUAUCACCAGUGAUCCUUAGCGCCAAAAGAAUUCUACGAGAAUUGUGGCUUGUUGUUGACUGGGAUGACCAAGUUCCCGAAGUAAAUCAACACCAGUGGAACAAGUGGAAUACUAAUUUUAGCCAGGUCGAAGCGUUCAAGAUCCCGCGAGCUUUAACUUCGUCUAGUGACAUCCAAGACAUUCAGCUGCAUGCCAUUUGCGAUGUAUCCACCGUUGGGUUUGGCUCUGUGGUAUAUCUACGAGUAACCUAUUGCAAUAAUAUCAUCGCCGUAAAUUUCGUUUCGUCAAAGUCCCGCGUGGCACCCCUUCGUCUGCUGACCGUUCCGAAAUUAGAACUCCAAGGAGCAGUUGUGGCACUACGCCUUAUGAAGUUUGUCAAAUCGACCCUUCGUAUUCAAAUCAAUCAAAUCAUCUAUUGGUAUGACUGUAAAACUGUCCUUCAGUGGAUAGCCUCAAAGACUUGUCGCUUUCAGACGUUCGUCGCAAAUCGAAUAUCCGAAAUCUUAUAUAUCUUCGUAUUCUCAACCAACUGAAUGGAGACAUGUCCCAGGAAUCGAAAAUCCAGCUGACGAGUGCAACAGACGACUUUUCCCAGAUGAGAUGAUGAAGAAUUACCGUUGGGUUAAUGGCCCAGAUUUCUUGCAGCAAGAAGAAACGCCUGGCCGAUAACCAUUAAACUUCCCGAACCUUCUGUCGAAGAUCCAGAGGUAUCAGCCACCAACUGGAAUGGGCUCGUUUACGGCCCCUCUGAAGAAAACAGGCUCCGCUCACUUUUGGAACGAAAUUCCAACUAUGACGUAGUGAUGCGAAUUGUUGCAUGGAUCCUUCGUUUCAUUUUCAACUGAAAAAAAAAAUUCUGUAUCGUGACAAAUCACGCAUUGGUGUCAAAUGCAUUCAAAGCGCUGCUAAUUAUUGCAUCAAAUCUGUACAAUUGGAGAAAUAUUCCGAAGAAAUAGAGGCUUUAAAGGAUAAAAAUCUUUUAAAAUUGAGUUCGACGCUGAUUACUUUAUCACCAUUUCUGGAUGAAGAAGGAAUACUGCGAGUAGGAGGUCGCUUGAAUUACGCCCCCCUUUCGUUCGACACCAAGCAUCCCAAAAUCCUUCCUCCUGAUCAUCCACUCACGCGUUUAAUCGUCAUGAGAGACCAUGAUCUCCUGUUUAAUCCAUCUCCAGAAAGAUUGCUCAGCUCAAUAAGGUAUCAAUAUUGGAUCAUUAAAGGACGAGUGGCUAUCAAAGGGUAUCUGCACAAGUGCUUUACUUGCAAACGCCAUUGAGCUACUCCCUGCAUUCCUUUAAUGGCCCCACUUCCGCAUCAUCGUCUUAUUCCGUUCCAACGUCCAUUCACUCAUGUGGGUUUGUACUAUUUCGGCCCGUGCAACAUCACCAUUUAUCGUCACAAAAUAAAACGAUAUGUUUUGCUGAUAACCUGUCUCAACACUAGAGCGGUACACUUGGAAGUUGCAGCGUCACUUGACUUAUCGUCUUUUUUUAUCAUUUUUGCUUCGUUCACCGCACGAAGAGGUCGCCCGUCAGUCGUGUAUAGUGACAAAGGAACUCAAACUGUUGCUGGAGACAAGGCAAUCCAACAAGGCAUCGAGCGUCUCAAGGAGCAGAAUAUCGUUGGUCAAAUGGUGAACCAAGAAAUCGAAUGGCAUUUUUCACCACCAUUAGCGCCACAUUUCGAAGGCGUUUGGGAAAGUCUCGUAAAAUCAGCAAAGGUGGCUCUGGAAGCCAUUGUGGAAUCACGUCCGCUUACCGAAGAGCUUUUACGUGGUUUCGUGAUUCAAGCCGAAUCGUUGUUGAAUGGACGUCCACUGACCUAUGUCAGUGUGGACCCUCGAGAUCCCGAACCACUUACCCCUAAUCAUUUUUUUUUAGUCCAGAGCUCGCCUAACACCGAAGACGACGUCAUCGAGGACGAGAAAUUAUAUUCUCGAAAACAUUGGGAAGCUAUGCAAGUCAUGACGACACAUUUUUGGCGCCGAUGGCUUCAAGAAUAUCUUCCCACUCUCACUGACCGUCGAAAAUGGCUUUUCGAUAAGAAGAAUUUGGCUGUGGACGAUACCGUGCUUGUGGUGUCUCCAAAUUCUCCUAGAGAACAUUGGCCUAUUGGUCGAGUAACUCGGAUCAUCCCCAGUACAGAUGGAAUCGUCAGGUCGGUGUUCGUCAAGACCUCUACUGGAGAAUACCACCGCCCGGUGUCCAAAUUAUGCCUAUUAGAAUCUGAUGUUACUGAUGUAUAAUUGUGUCUCUCUGUAAUCAGUAACAGGCCCCGCUGUUAACGACAGAAGUCGUUAGGUAUAAAUGUAAUUUAAUUUUUGUUUUGUAUGUCUUUAUGUACGUGUGUGUGUGUGUUCAUGUCAUUGCCGAGGGGCAGACAAGUCUGAACUUGUCUGAUCUAAGCUAAACUAAUACCCUUUGGUUUUGCUAUAGUUUACCCUCCCUUACACUUCCGCCACCCCAUUUACACCUAAAACUAAAUGUUUGCGUUAGUGCCCUUCUUUUGUUUUACCCUUUUUCUGCAUUUUCGCCGUAGUCGAAGACGGAGGGAGAUGCGGUCACUCUGAUUCGUUUUCGUCGUGGCUGCAGUCGCAACCUGUUGUUCCCGUUUUCGUCUUUUGUACCUCGUGUCGUGUUUAAUACAUCGCAGCGUGGCCCUUUUGGCCACUGAGUUAGCCACAUUUUCAUCUCGUUUAUUUCAGUGGUUAACAAGCUUAUAACGACAAUUUACUCAACCACAUGAACGUUGUAGCCGACAUCGUAGCCACCAUGAAUGAACAAACACCUGCUGCUUUUCCAUUGAAUCAUCGUCCUCAUGCAGUUGAUGUUCUAUUGAUAGCAACGGGAGUCGAGAGAUAUACCAUCUGGUGGGAGAUCAUCCAAAUUUCUUUGUUCAUCGUCGUCAUUUCCAUUUUUCCCUCAUCGUCUUAUGCAUUUGCUGCUGUCUCGGUCUUUUCGGUGUUUGCUGCCCUCCAAUUGAAGAAGUAAAAACUUCUCAUCACGACCGCAUGCCGCUCCACACGACCGCAGGCCUACAAAUAUAUUUACUCAACAUGCCCACAUUUUACUGUCUUAUAUUUACUCCCCCUUUCACUUAUGAUAUCCGCCGUUUUCCUUAUGUUAACGUUUACAAUUCGUACCGUAUUUCAUGCUCAUUUCCUUGAAAAGUUGUUUGUCAAUUCGGAGAUGAAGUCAUCGACGCUUUGGUCUGACCUCAAUGAACACCUGCAACUGACGUAUGUGCGAUGCGCAUAUCGCACAAUAAAUAAACAACCGGUUUAUUGGUUGAACACACGUCACAAUCCCUCUCUUUACAAAACAUCUUUUGGUUGGUUGCCCGUGCCGAGUUGCAACAUGCCAUCAGCGUCUGUGAUCACUCCCGAAAUGCGAGGUUUCGUGGUGAACCCACAUUUCUGACAAACAGAGUCGAUUCGCAACAUCUAAGCAGUUCAGACGUCAAUUGCUGAGUGUUUAAUCCCGUAAGUCUAUUCGUAAUUUUGUCCUUUUCCUGUUGUCGAACUUUGUUCUUUUGUGAGUACUAUCCGUGCUUUUCUCCCUUCUUGAACUGUCUGUUUAUUUCGUGUCUCGCUCUCGCUUCCACGAGCCGCAUCUUAUUCGUUCUUACCGCCGUGCGCUCCCGUAACAUUCGCGCUACAUCGGUAAGCUUCAACUUCCCUUAUGUUUCUGUCAUUAUGAUUUGGCUCGUUAUCUUUUUCUUGUCCUGUUGUAUGUCCCUUCCCGUGUAAUUCUUAUGGCCUUAGUCAAGUAAAUACAUACCAAUCAUUGUGGGUAAUUC
rnacentral:misc_RNA from 1 species